rnacentral:rRNA from 1 species
AGAGCGAACGCUGGCGGCAUGCUUAACACAUGCAAGUCGCACGGGCAGGGGAAACUCUGUCAGUGGCGGACGGGUGAGUAACGCGUAGGUAUCUGUCCAUGGGUGGGGGAUAACGGCGGGAAACUGCUGCUAAUACCGCAUGAUGCCCGAGGGCCAAAGGCGCGAGUCGCCUGUGGAGGAGCCUGCGUCCGAUUAGCUAGUUGGUGGGGUAAAGGCCUACCAAGGCUAUGAUCGGUAGCUGGUCUGAGAGGAUGAUCAGCCACACUGGGAUUGAGAACGGCCCAGACUCCUACGGGGGCAGCAGUGAGGAAUUUUCGUCAAUGGGGGCAACCCUGAACGAGCAACGCCGCGUGCAGGAAGACGCUUUUCGGAGUGUAAACUGCUUUUCUUAGGGACGAGUAAGGACGGUACCUAAGGAAUAAGCCCGGACUAACUACGUGCCAGCAGCCGC